rnacentral:tRNA from 1 species
UGCGGAGUGGAGCAGUUGGUAGCUCGCCUGGCUCAUAACCAGGAGGUCCUUGGUUCGAUUCCAAGCUCCGCAA